AUGAUCAUGGGAACAACAGUAAGAUUCAACUCUGGAAAGCAGAGGCAUGGUAUGGAUAUCCCAGCUAAUGCGAGUUACCUGCAAAUGACAGUGGCUCAUUAGAGUGAACAACACAGUUAACUCCCAGAGUUUCCUGCUCCAUAGACCGUAAGCAAACACUCUGCUAUGCAAGGAUGGCUAAUCUGAAAACAUGGCACCUCUCCCUCUUCUCGUUUCCAUUGCUAUGAUGACUCAGGCUACAUUAUUGAGAUCAUGGUCACCAUGACCUGGAAGAAUCCUGAUGAGCAAGACCCAUUUUGGAAGGUCAAUAAUCAAAUAUAUCGCAGUUUUCUACAUUUCAAUUACCAACAAAGUUCCUGAUUUCAGUGGAGCUUACUUCCAGUGUUCUCCAAAUAUUGUCCACCUCUUUUUGUGAUGGGCCUCAUUCCACUCUCCCACACUGCUCUGGAACAACGCUAACUCUGGGAUAUUGUGGAGAAUAUAAAAUGGAGGUGAGGAUGCCAGCGUGGCACACUUGCUGCUCUGCCCCUUGUAAUGGCAGAAGAAAAAAAGUGGGAAAAGAGAAGAAGUUGUGCUAUUGCUUUUUGUGAGAAAAUUUGGUGAAAUAGGCCAUCCAAUUUCUCAGCCCAUAAGAAGGGUGAAGAAUUUCAACAGGCAAUUUGCUUACAACUCUAGAAUUUACCCCCUUAUAGCGACAGAAGAUUUUUGUGCCAUCUGACCUUCCAAGCAUGUCUUACUUGCUUAGAAUAAUGCUGCUAGCUGUACGUCAAGGGAGAAAAGAAAGAGGAAAAGCAUUAUACCACUGGUUGAUAUUCCUGGUCCUUUCCUUUGUUUAUAUUUUUGUAAAUGUCACUUCUAAUUGAGAUGGUUUUAGCUUCUUUGAAAGAAGCUUAUUGAAGCUUAUUGUGGGAAUAUGUUAAUUAAACUUUCUACAU